CACCUCACGUCGGCGGUCGGAGGGGCUCCGGGGUCGUUAACGGCUCGGUUAAAGCCUCCCCGCUGUCCUGCGGGUGCUGUGUGCCGGUGCGCUGAGGAGAGGGCUCGCUGGUGGAAGGUGCCUGUGUAACAUAAUGGUAUCCAGCAACAGGGUGAUGUGAAGCCCCUGACUAGAAAGAGAAGCAAAAAUGAAUAGAGUCUUGCUACACAGGCUGGAAAUGCAACAGGACAUUUGGUACACUACAGAGACAGAAGAGGAGUACUGUACCUCAGGAUCUUCCACCAGAGUCACAACUCUUCCAGGCUACAAUGAAAG